AUGCAAUUAACUCAAGAAGUGUUAAGGAAUUUACCGAAAAUUCAUCCAAGCAAGGGAAUCGGAGAAGAAGUGGAGUUUCGGUGGAGAGGACUUGACGGAGGGAGUACAUGUGCACGAAAGAGAUCAACGCGUGAAGGAGUUCCGAUCAGAGGGAGUAUGCCACAAUUAAGCGAUAGACGGGAAGGACUUAGCGCAAUCAAGGGAAGGCCAGAGGAGGCGGCGUCGGGCUGA